CCAACAAGGCCAAACAUAAAUGCAACUGGCUCCCUGGCAGCACACAUGAACACACGAGGGAUCAAGACUCCAGUCCGACACGCUCCCAACUAUACUUAAAAUUUUAUCUUUUUCCACUUUUCUUUCACUCACAUUCCUGCACAGAAACGUGAAAACAUGAAGUCUCUGAUUCUCGCUCUUCUGGUUUUGCUGGUUGUCAACCAGGGUGAAGCCUUGAAGUGUUACUGUGGAGGCCAAGGUAAGAUAUGUUCAGGUGAUGAGGAGACCUGCUCCGGACCAAAUCAAGUCUGCGCCAGCUUCAUUCUUCAAUCUGGAUUCCUUGUCAGCAUCUUCCGAAGUUGCCAUGAUGGAAAUGAGUGCAAGCAUCUGGUUAAUUCUAAUACUGUAGCUGGCAGAUGCUGCAGCACUGAUCUGUGCAAUUGAUAAAUGAAAAUAAACUCAUUAAAAGUUUUGUUAAAAUACAAUUUCCAAUGUCAAUUAUGAACCCCCACAAUAAAGGUUUGUUAUAUCAAAAGAUAUUUUCCAUAUUUUUUGUUAUUUGAUGUUUUUUUAUUUUUUUUUAAAGAUGCUAUUUCAAAUUGCAUACUGCCCUCCAAAACAUAGUGUGCUAAAUUUCAUCUGUUGGGAAACUAUCUCUGUGGUCUUCAUGCAGGAACUCCUAAAAAUGAUGAUUGCGAUCAUUUUGUCAACUUAUUACCCAGACUGUUUUGGCCAAAUAUUAGCACUAAGUCAGCUGUUACAUUUAAAAUUAUUUGUAUUUUCUCCUGAUGAAUCAGGAGUUGCAGGAUCAACAUCUGGCCUUAAGUCACUCUGUUUGUGAGUGAAACCCAGUGGAGUUUGAGUUAAUGAUACACUGGGUUUGCAUUGAUUGCAUAAAAAGUACAUAGGAAAAUGAAAGCCAGCAACCUGGCAGCACAAAUCUCAAGAAUCAACACACCAGAGAGACAAUUUACCAGGUGAGCUAAGUUUUUUCAUAUGUGCAUGACUGAAGUGAUUCCAAAUAUGGCAUUUGAUUUCUCUGUUUUAUUCAUACAGAUAUUGGGGUAAAGACACAUGAAAAUAUGAAGUCUGUGGUUUUUGCUCUUGUGGUUUUGUUAGCUGUCAGCCAUGGUGAGUUAAUAUUCAUGAAUCACAGUAAACCUGCUGUCUAUUUCUACUAAACUGGAUGACGUCCUUCUUAAAACCAGCUGCAAUAAUCUGCAGCUGAUCAAUAACAGUUUGUAUUAUGUAUAUGUUUCCAGUGUUUCUGUUUUGAGACGAUUUUAAAGUUUAAGGACAAUAAUUAGUGGUGGUAAAAAUCCAGCAAUAGUUGAAUGAGAUUUUUCCAGGUGAAGCCUUGAGGCGUGGAGGCGUGCUCCUGUUUAAAUCAAGUCUGUGCCAGCAUCAGCUAUGAGGCCGGAGCUGAUGUCGGCUUUCUGCAGGGUUGCAUGAAUUCACCUACUUGCUGCAUGACUGACCUGUGCAAUACAUACAUAAACUUACAAAAUGUGAAGAAACAAUAGAAGAAAGGAUCAACAGUAAUAGUAAUUAUCUACUAUCAUGUGUUGUGCACUAUUGCAUGAUCAUAUUAAAGAUCGAUCAGUUAUAAUGUUUUUGCUUUUUCACUUUAUGUACAUCCCUUUUUUAAAUGUCUUCUAAUGGUUUUUAAAACCAACAUGAACAUGAACAGUCUUGUUGUUAAACUCUAUGUUUCAACCUUGUGCAAUGUUAUUGACUUUGAGUCCAUUCAAGGCCAUUUGGCACAUGAUCAUUUUGUGUUUUAUAGCUAAAUUACAAUUCAAAUUGUAGACU